GAGGCAGAAGAAAAAAAAAACAGAGAAGAGAAGAACAAGAAAAGAAAAGGGAAGAAAAAAAGUGCAUGACAGAAAAAAAAAAGAAGAAGAAAAGAGGAGAAAGAAGCACAAAAAGCAAGAAGGAAGUUGACGUGCGACAAAGCCACAUUUGAAGUUCAUAAGUUCGUCAUGUUUUGGUUUUGAUUUCUGUGAGUGUGUACACAUUUCAAAUGCAUAUUUUCACUCUCUGCAUUGAGCUUAGGACCCCUAGGAUCCAUCCAAUGCAAUUCAAAAGGUCCGAAAGCCCCGUUACAACCCUCUCAAAGCCCCUUUCGAGCUAUUUUGACUAAGUGAUAUCUUUUUGAGUGCUUGUGGUGAGCUUUGAGUGAAACACUUUACACUUUGAGAGGUGACUUGAGGAAACUUGAACUUAUGUGUAGUGCUUAACUAUCUUGACAAAACUGACAACAUGAACCAUAUUUUGAGGAAAAAAAUUCAGUUGGGCUGCAUUUUUGCUUGAAUUUCGGGGAGGUUGAGUAUUGUUUGCGUUUCAUAAGCUUGACUCUUGUGUGUAGUUUUGUGUGUUUUCGUUUGAGUCUACUUUUGUGUUUGUGUCUUGUACUUGUUUGUGUUGUAUGUUGUGUUGUUUUAAUUUAGUGUGUGUUGAGAGAACAGGGAAGUGACUUAAACUAGCAAUUGAGUGAAAAGUCCAACCACAUACUUGGGACAAGUAUGAUCCAAGUGUGAGGAGGAAAUGAAUGGAGUGGUCCGACGAGCAUGCUAAUGGAAUUGAUUCUGGAUUACAUGCCAAAGUAGAGGAAAAUUGGAUGCAAAUUCAAUGGUUUGAGAUAGAAGGAAUCCACAAGACACAAACUGCCCAGUUUGAUGGAUUGGCCAGUGUCCGAGCAAUGUUGACAGCUCCUCAAAGUCGCAUUUCAAAGCUAAGUUGACGAGUCUUUGUGCUACCAAUGCCCACAAGCGACACUUUUGAAGGCAAAAGAAGCCAACUACCAUCAUUGGGAGUGGACAAGACUUCCACAUCAGAUUGGUUGGAAGAAGUGUAACAAAAUCAACAAAACUUACCUUUUGGAACAACUUGGAAAAAAACCACUCUUUAGCUAGCUUUAGUUAGUUUUAGUUUCUCUCUCUAAGCUUAGUUUUCUCUCAUCCUUGAAGCAAAUUUCGAACCAUAGGCAGCCAUUGCCACUUUUGCUCACCAUGGGGUGAAGCUUGUAGUUGUGUAGUGUUUUAAUGCUUUGAAUGACCUAGUUCCUUAUUGUACUCAUUUUCCAACAUCUUAACUCUCUAGUUAAGGUUGUUGGGCUGAUAUUAAAAAGCUUUUGGUGCAUUUAAA